CUACGGGGGGCUCCAGUGAGGAAUAUUGGACAAUGGUCGAAAGACUGAUCCAGCCAUGCCGCGUGCAGGAUGACUGCCCUAUGGGUUGUAAACUGCUUUUAUACGGGAAGAAAAACACCUACGUGUAGGUGACUGACGGUACCGUAAGAAUAAGGACCGGCUAACUCCGUGCCAGCAGCCGCGGUAAUACGGAGGGUCCAAGCGUUAUCCGGAAUCAUUGGGUUUAAAGGGUCCGUAGGCGGGCUAUUAAGUCAGAGGUGAAAGUUUGCAGCUCAACUGUAAAAUUGCCUUUGAUACUGAUAGUCUUGAAUUGUAGUAAAGUGGUUAGAAUAUGUGGUGUAGCGGUGAAAUGCAUAGAUAUCACAUAGAAUACCGAUUGCGAAGGCAGAUCACUAACUAUAUAUUGACGCUGAGGGACGAAAGCGUGGGGAGCGAACGGGAUUAGAUACCCUGGUAGUC
rnacentral:rRNA from 1 species